rnacentral:rRNA from 1 species
GACGAACGCUGGCGGCGUGCUUAACACAUGCAAGUCGAACGGUGAAGGGACCAGCUUGCUGGUUCUGGAUGAGUGGCGAACGGGUGAGUAACACGUGAGUAACCUGCCCCCUUCUUCUGGAUAACCGCAUGAAAGUGUGGCUAAUACGGGAUAUUCUGGGUCUGUCGCAUGGCGGGCCCGGGAAAGAUAUUGCUUCGGUGGGGGAUGGGCUCGCGGCCUAUCAGCUUGUUGGUGGGGUGAUGGCCUACCAAGGCGGUGACGGGUAGCCGGCCUGAGAGGGUGGACGGUCACACUGGGACUGAGACACGGCCCAGACUCCUACGGGAGGCAGCAGUGGGGAAUAUUGCACGAUGGGCGCAAGCCUGAUGCAGCGACGCCGCGUGAGGGAUGGAGGCCUUCGGGAUGUAAACCUCUUUCGCCAGUGAAGCAGGCCGGCUCCUUGUGGGUGGGUUGACGGUAGCUGGAUAAGAAGCGCCGGCUAACUACGUG